CGAGGAUCUAAGAGGGAGCUGUGCCUGGAAACCUGUCCAGCCUACACCGCUACCAUCUUUUGGUAUCCGGAAUUCAGAGUGCGUGGCAAAGAGGAGCCCUAAGAGAGACGACAUCACCGAGAAAAGUGAGGAGACGUAUGACCUCGCCACGACGCCCACUGAAGCCCUGAUCGUGCAAUUUUGUUAUGAAUCAGAUUAUGUGUUUAUGUUGAUUAUUAUUUCUUGAUUAUUAUGUAACUUGAUCCCAGGACAGCGAAUUUUAUGUUUGUGUAUUUGUUUGUUUGCUUAUUUACUCGUUUGAUGACUACGACAAAAUUCUAGAUUGCUAGAAGAGUAUGGCAUAAUUUAGCUAUGCUCUCAGCAAGGGGGGAUGUCACAACCCAAAGUUGUGGUUUUUUGUUUGUGUGUGCUUCGGCACCGCUAAAUUAUUUUCCCGCCGAUUGUAGCUUUCUUUGCAUGGUAGAGUUCUCUGCUGCGAGAGAGAACUCUGGUGCAACGGGAUUUCCCGCCAAAUUACAGCUUCUUUGCAGGGUACAUUUCUUUUGCAUACUAGUGAUGCACGUUGCAAAGGAGUUCCCGCCAUUCGUAUUCAAAUUUGUGCCACGUUAUUGGCCAGUUCCAAAUGUAGGCACACGUGGCAGCUAGCUAUUGGCUUGCUAGCCAUACAAAAGGCUUGAGUGGUUUCCGCCCAAGUUGGAGGACUCCACGAACAUCGGAGGAGGGAGAAAGAGAGAGACUCUGUGUGAAGAUCUCCAAGCGCUGCGGACCCUCGCGGACCCAACACGCCUCCCCUAAGCAGGCAAUAGAACCGAACCUACGGAGCUUUCACUUCUAGUCUCUCCCCGUCGCCGAUCGCAAUCCCAGACGUAUCCCUUUCCUGUAAACUUCGAACCCGCGGAGCCUAAGCAACUCCGGGGAACCCUUCGAACCCAACCGAACCGGACCCGCGGAGCCUAAACAACUCCGUGGGAGCAAUCGAAUUUGUCGUGGUCCUCUAGCGAGGAUCUAAGCGGGAGCUGUGCCUGGAAACCUGUCCAGCCUACACUGCUACCAUCUUUUGGUGUAAGUAAACAAUCUUUUCAAUCAAC